AUGACUAUAUCACAUUGAAACACUGAUUCCCAUUCAAUCACCAAGGUUAAGCAAUGUCGAGUCUGGUCAGUACUUAGAUGGGUGACCGCCUGUGAAUACCAGGU